rnacentral:tRNA from 1 species
AAAACUUUAAGUUAAAUAAACUAUUAACCUUCAAAGUUAAAAAUACAGUAAAGUAAGUUUUA